ACGCGUUCGUACGCAGUAGUGGAAACGAGCCUUUAUUUGUAUUCUUGUUUGUAUUAUGUAUUCUUCUGUGGGACAAAAUUCAUCUAGACUUUUACAUCGCGUUUAAAAAGAACGUUGUGACAGCCAAAGAACAAAAUCGAAUUGCAUUGUCAAAAACUACAAGUCAUUAUUUUAAUAAAUUUAUCAAGGGCACCCCACGUUUUUAUUAUUUGUGAUAUAAAAUUUAAGGCGAAUUUGGAAUCAAGUGUCCAGUUUGUUCAAAAUUUGUACCACCAGAUGACGUGGAGUGCCAUUUAGUUAUGUGUCUUACGAAGCCAAGAAUUAUUUAUAACGAAGAUGUUUUAAUAGAAGAUAAAGGGGAAUGUGUUAUAUGUUUA